GGAGCUGUUAGCAUCACCAUUUUAUGAAUGAGGAGAAUAAGAAGAAAUUAGCUGGCCCAUGCGCAGUGCUGAUGCGCGCAAGGAGUGCCGUGCCACGCAGGGGUGACCCCUGCGUAGGUGUCCCCCAUAAGGAGAGCUGCCCAGCGUGAAAGAAAGUGGUGCCUAGGAAUGGCACCACACACAUGGAGAGCUGACACAACAAGAUGACACAACAAAAGAAACAGAUUCCCGUACCACUGACAACAACAGAAGUGGACAAAGAAGACACAGCAAAUAGACACAGAGAACAGACAACCGGGGCAGAUGGGUGGGCAGGGAGAG
rnacentral:lncRNA from 1 species